AACGCUGGCGGCGUGCCUAAUACAUGCAAGUCGAGCGGACAGAAGGGAGCUUGCUCCCGGAUGUUAGCGGCGGACGGGUGAGUAACACGUGGGUAACCUGCCUGUAAGACUGGGAUAACUCCGGGAAACCGGAGCUAAUACCGGAUAGUUCCUUGAACCGCAUGGUUCAAGGAUGAAAGACGGUUUCGGCUGUCACUUACAGAUGGACCCGCGGCGCAUUAGCUAGUUGGUGAGGUAACGGCUCACCAAGGCGACGAUGCGUAGCCGACCUGAGAGGGUGAUCGGCCACACUGGGACUGAGACACGGCCCAGACUCCUACGGGAGGCAGCAGUAGGGAAUCUUCCGCAAUGGACGAAAGUCUGACGGAGCAACGCCGCGUGAGUGAUGAAGGUUUUCGGAUCGUAAAGCUCUGUUGUUAGGGAAGAACAAGUGCAAGAGUAACUGCUUGCACCUUGACGGUACCUAACCAGAAAGCCACGGCUAACUACGUGCCAGCAGCCGCGGUAAUACGUAGGUGGCAAGCGUUGUCCGGAAUUAUUGGGCGUAAAGGGCUCGCAGGCGGUUUCUUAAGUCUGAUGUGAAAGCCCCCGGCUCAACCGGGGAGGGUCAUUGGAAACUGGGAAACUUGAGUGCAGAAGAGGAGAGUGGAAUUCCACGUGUAGCGGUGAAAUGCGUAGAGAUGUGGAGGAACACCAGUGGCGAAGGCGACUCUCUGGUCUGUAACUGACGCUGAGGAGCGAAAGCGUGGGGAGCGAACAGGAUUAGAUACCCUGGUAGUCCACGCCGUAAACGAUGAGUGCUAAGUGUUAGGGGGUUUCCGCCCCUUAGUGCUGCAGCUAACGCAUUAAGCACUCCGCCUGGGGAGUACGGUCGCAAGACUGAAACUCAAAGGAAUUGACGGGGGCCCGCACAAGCGGUGGAGCAUGUGGUUUAAUUCGAUGAUACGCGAGGAACCUUACCAGGGCUUAAAUGGGAGAUGACAGGGGCAGAGACGCCCUUUUCUUCGGACAUCUUUCAAGGUGCUGCAUGGUUGUCGUCAGCUCGUGCCGUGAGGUGUCAGGUUAAGUCCUAUAACGAGCGCAACCCCUACCGUUAGUUGCCAGCGAUUCAAGUCGGGGACUCUAACGGGACUGCCGGUGCAAACCGUGAGGAAGGUGGGGACGACGUCAAAUCAUCACGGCCCUUACGUCCUGGGCUACACACGUGCUACAAUGGUCGGUACAGAGGGAAGCUACCCCGCAAGGGGAUGCGGAUCUAUAAAACCGAUCUCAGUUCGGAUCGGGGUCUGCAACUCGACCCCGUGAAGCUGGAAUCGCUAGUAAUCGGAUAUCAGCCAUGAUCCGGUGAAUACGUUCUCGGGCCUUGUACACACCGCCCGUCACACCAUGGGAGUUGGCGGCACCAGAAGUAGGUAGCUUAACCUUCGGGAGGGCGCUUACCACGGUGCGGUUAAUGACUGGGGUGAAGUCGUAACA
rnacentral:rRNA from 1 species